rnacentral:rRNA from 1 species
UGAUUCUGGCUCAGGAUGAACGCUGGCGGCGUGCUUAACACAUGCAAGUCGAACGGGAUCCAUCGGGUUUUGCUUGGUGGUGAGAGUGGCGAACGGGUGAGUAAUGCGUGACCGACCUGCCCCAUGCUCCGGAAUAGCUCCUGGAAACGGGUGGUAAUGCCGGAUGUUCCACAUGAUCGCAUGUGAUUGUGGGAAAGAUUCUAUCGGCGUGGGAUGGGGUCGCGUCCUAUCAGCUUGUUGGUGAGGUAACGGCUCACCAAGGCUUCGACGGGUAGCCGGCCUGAGAGGGCGACCGGCCACAUUGGGACUGAGAUACGGCCCAGACUACUACGGGAGGCAGCAGUGGGGAAUAUUGCACAAUGGGCGCAAGCCUGAUGCAGCGACGCCGCGUGAGGGAUGGAGGCCUUCGGGUUGUAAACCUCUUUUGUUUGGGAGCAAGCCUUCGGGUGAGUGUAUCUUUCGAAUAAGCGCCGGCUAACUACGUGCCAGCAGCCGCGGUAAUACGUAGGGGCAAGCGUUAUCCGGAUUUAUUGGGCGUAAAGGGCUCGUAGGCGGCUCGUCGCGUCCGGUGUGAAAGUCCAUCGCUUAACGGUGGAUCUGCGCCGGGUACGGGCGGGCUGGAGUGCGGUAGGGGAGACUGGAAUUCCCGGUGUAACGGUGGAAUGUGUAGAUAUCGGGAAGAACACCGAUGGCGAAGGCAGGUCUCUGGGCCGUCACUGACGCUGAGGAGCGAAAGCGUGGGGAGCGAACAGGAUUAGAUACCCUGGUAGUCCACGCCGUAAACGGUGGACGCUGGAUGUGGGGCACGUUCCACGUGUUCCGUGUCGGAGCUAACGCGUUAAGCGUCCCGCCCGGGGAGUACGGCCGCAAGGCUAAAACUCAAAGAAAUUGACGGGGGCCCGCACAAGCGGCGGAGCAUGCGGAUUAAUUCGAUGCAACGCGAAGAACCUUACCUGGGCUUGACAUGUUCCCGACGACGCCAGAGAUGGCGUUUCCCUUCGGGGCGGGUUCACAGGUGGUGCAUGGUCGUCGUCAGCUCGUGUCGUGAGAUGUUGGGUUAAGUCCCGCAACGAGCGCAACCCUCGCCCCGUGUUGCCAGCACGUUAUGGUGGGAACUCACGGGGGACCGCCGGGGUUAACUCGGAGGAAGGUGGGGAUGACGUCAGAUCAUCAUGCCCCUUACGUCCAGGGCUUCACGCAUGCUACAAUGGCCGGUACAGCGGGAUGCGACAUGGCGACAUGGAGCGGAUCCCUGAAAACCGGUCUCAGUUCGGAUCGGAGCCUGCAACCCGGCUCCGUGAAGGCGGAGUCGCUAGUAAUCGCGGAUCAGCAACGCCGCGGUGAAUGCGUUCCCGGGCCUUGUACACACCGCCCGUCAAGUCAUGAAAGUGGGCAGCACCCGAAGCCGGUGGCCUAACCCCUUGUGGGAUGGAGCCGUCUAAGGUGAGGCUCGUGAUUGGGACUAAGUCGUAACAAGGUA